rnacentral:rRNA from 1 species
UUGACCUCAAAUCAGGUAGGAUUACCCGCUGAACUUAAGCAUAUCAAUAAGCGGAGGAAAAGAAACCAACAGGGAUUACCUUAGUAACGGCGAGUGAAGCGGUAAAAGCUCAAAUUUGAAAUCUAGCACUUUCAGUGUUCGAGUUGUAAUUUGAAGAAGGUAUCUUUGGAGUUGGCCCCCGUCUAUGUUCCUUGGAACAGGACGUCACAGAGGGUGAGAAUCCCGUGCGAUGGGGAGACCAAUUCUAUGUAAAGUUCCUUCGAAGAGUCGAGUUGUUUGGGAAUGCAGCUCUAAGUGGGUGGUAAAUUCCAUCUAAAGCUAAAUAUUGGCGAGAGACCGAUAGCGAACAAGUACAGUGAUGGAAAGAUGAAAAGAACUUUGAAAAGAGAGUGAAAAAGUACGUGAAAUUGUUGAAAGGGAAGGGCUUUUGAUCAGACUUGGUGUUUAGUACUCUCUACUCCUUGUGGGUGGGGCUCUUGCUUUAUACUGGGCCAGCAUCGGUUUGGAUGGUAGGAUAAUAGCAUUGGAAUGUGGCUUCAUUCGUGAAGUGUUAUAGCCCUUGUUGAUACUACCUAUCUAGACCGAGGACUGCGUC